rnacentral:misc_RNA from 1 species
GAAAGAAAAAAGUCUACAGCUACAGGGGCCAUAACUUGGGGGAUGAUAUUGAUGCCAGAAGCCAUUGGCUACUUGUUGCACCAGUGCUCCAAAAUCACGGCAUUGAGACAUGGUCUUUCCCUUCAUGCCGCUGCUUUGAAGUCUGGCAUGCUAUCUGAUGUUGUUGUCUCCAACCAUGUUCUAAACAUGUACGCUAAGUGUCGCCAGAUCUCAUAUGCUCGACAAUUGUUUGAUGAGAUGCCUGAAAGA